CCCGGUCAGCUCUCAGACCUGAGCGAAGCGGUUAGACCGGAGGUGAUAUCUGCGUGGCUUUUCAACGAUAGUGACAACUGAGGAACACCAAGGGGCUGACACACCGUGGUGGCUUUAUUUCUGCUGGACAGGUCACCUGCAGGUUUGAGUCUUUCAUAGCCCUGUGCUUCUCACCAGUAUACGCUAAUUGGACCAUGUUGGUUGGCCUGGAUUACAACCACCAUGUCCACAGAUGAGCCAGGAGAAAAGCUGAUGACACAGUUCAGUACAGCAAGGUAUACAACAAAAAGUCCAGGAAGUAGAGCUUGUACUCAUUGAAGGUGAAGA